ACACGGUAAUACCCAAAAUAUUCUGAAGCGAUGUUUGCAUUGAUUUGUGUUUUUUGCAUCUCAUACCCUCAUACACCUUUAUCAUAAGAGCAUCUGUUAUCUACGAUGGAGCGUUCGAUCAGAAGAAAAUAUGAAGCUGGUUUUAAAUUAAAAGACGUUGAAGUGGCGAAAGAAAUUGGUAACUGCGCUGCUGCAACAAAAUUCGAUGCGUCUGAGAAACUGGUGUGAGA